AUUAACCUCAGAUCAGGCAAGA
rnacentral:rRNA from 1 species